rnacentral:lncRNA from 1 species
UAAAUGACUAAAAUGUAAAAUGGAAAGGUAUGGAAACAAAAUAUUUAAAAAAUAACAAAAAAAACACAUAUACCUCAAAUAUACAUUAACACACAGAAACAGCAAAUCCUCCAUAAACACAGAAAAAAUAUAUGCAACAUGUAAAGUGUUGGUCCCAUGUUUCAUGAUCUGAAAUCAAAUCAAAUGUAUUUAUAUAGCCCUUCUUACAUCAGCUGAUAUCACAAAGUGCUGUACAGAAACCCAGCCUAAAACCCCAAACAGCAAGCAAUGCAGGUGUAGAAGCACGGUUGCUAGGAAAAACUCCCUAGAAAGGCUGAAACCUAGAGAGGAACCAGGCUAUGAGGGGUGGCCAGUCCUCUUCUUGCUGUGCCGGGUGGAGAUUAUAACAGCACAUGGCCUAGAUGUUCAAAUGUUCAUAAAUGACCAGUAUUGUCAAAUAAUAAUAAUCAUAGUAGUUGUCGAGGGUGCAACAAGUCAGUAACACAAGAGUAAGUGUCAGUUGGCUUUUUCAUAGCCGAUCUUUGAGAGUAUCUCUACCACUCCUGCUGUCUCUAGAGAGUUGAAAACAGCAGGUCUGGGACAGGUAGCAUGUCCGGUGAACAGGUCAGGGUUCCAUAGCUGCAGGCAGAACAGUUGGAACUGGAGCAGCAGCACGGCCAGGUGAACUGGGGACAGCAAGGAGUCAUCAAGCCAGGUAGUCCUGAGGCAUGGUCCUAGGGCUCAGGUCCUCCGAGAGAGAGAAAGAAAGAAAGAUCCCAGAAAUAUCCCAGAAAUAAAAGAUCCCAGAAAUGUUCCACACGCACAAAAAUCUUAUUUCUCUCAAAUGUUGUGCACCGUUAGUGAGCAUUUUAUCCUUUGUCAAGAUAAUCCAUCCACCUGACAGGUGUGGCAUAUCAAGAAGCUGAUUAAACAGCAUAGGGUGGGGUGCUGAGGAGUAUUUCAGUCUGUAAUUAAGCCCUUUUGUGGGGAAAAAUGUAUUCUGAUUGGCUGGGCCUGGGUCCCCAGUGAGUGGGCCUAUGCCCUUCCAGACCCACCCAUGGCUGCGCCCCUGCCUAUUCAUGUGAAAUCCAUAGAUUUCCAUA